GCGCCCGUAGCUCAGUUGGAUAGAGCAUCUGCCUUCUAAGCAGGCGGUCGUGCGUUCGAAUCGCGCCGGGCGCGCCA
rnacentral:tRNA from 1 species